rnacentral:rRNA from 1 species
UACGUAGGGGGCAAGCGUUGUCCGGAUUUAUUGGGCGUAAAGAGCGUGUAGGCGGUCAGAUAGGUCCGUUGUGAAAACUCGAGGCUCAACCUCGAGACGCCGAUGGAAACCAUCUGACUAGAGUCCGGAAGAGGAGAGUGGAAUUCCUGGUGUAGCGGUGAAAUGCGCAGAUAUCAGGAAGAACACCCGUGGCUAAGGCGGCUCUCUAGUACGGUACUGACGCUAAGACGCGAAAGCGUGGGGAGCGAACAGG